UACGUAGGUGGCAAGCGUUGUCCGGAUUUAUUGGGUUUAAAGGGUGCGUAGGCGGCUUUGUAAGUCAGUGGUGAAAUAUGGCAGCUUAACUGUCAGGGUGCCAUUGAUACUGCAGAGCUUGAGUACAGAUGAGGUAGGCGGAAUUGACGGUGUAGCGGUGAAAUGCUUAGAUAUCGUCAAGAACACCUAUAGCGAAGGCAGCUUACUAGGCUGUAACUGACGCUGAGGCACGAAAGCGUGGGGAUCAAACAGG
rnacentral:rRNA from 1 species